UACGGAGGGGGCUAGCGUUGUUCGGAAUUACUGGGCGUAAAGCGCACGUAGGCGGCGAUUUAAGUCAGAGGUGAAAGCCCGGGGCUCAACCCCGGAACAGCCUUUGAGACUGGAUUGCUUGAACAUCGGAGAGGUGAGUGGAAUUCCGAGUGUAGAGGUGAAAUUCGUAGAUAUCUGGAGGAAUACCGGUGGCGAAGGCGGCAUCCUGGACCGGCAUUGACGCUGAGUGAGCGAAAGCCAGGGGAGCAAACGGG
rnacentral:rRNA from 1 species